UUAUCUGAGAAAAUGGUUAUUUCUUCAUUGCUUUGGAAGGAUAAUUUCACCAGAUACAGAAUUCUAGAUUGCUGGAGUUUCUUAUUUCAAACACUUCAAAUGUUCACUCUCAUCUUCUCUGCGUGGCAUCCGAAGUGAAGGCCGAGAAGAGGAAACUGAAGCUGAGCAAUGUGCUCAGGCCUGCCCAGUCAUGAGGUUCUUGACCCCAACUCUCCCAGUACAAGUCUCUGCUGACCCCAACUAUAAUGGGCAAAAGCAUCCUUAUGGACCAGAACCCUUCCUUGGAAUCAGAAGACUCAGAUCUGCCCCAAGAAGCACCCCUCGUGCUCUGAUCUUAGGUGACGACAGGGCUGGCCCAACCCUUAGCCAUCGUCCAGCAGCCCACUUCAGGAAAAGGAACAGGACCCCUCACCCCUGAAUUUACAGACACAAUCUCUGCAAGAGGUCUCUGGACCAGCUAGGAUCUUCGGAACAGG